rnacentral:tRNA from 1 species
AGGCUUGACUGGACAUAACGAGAACUGCUAAUUACUCGCCACCACGGUUCGACCCCGUGGCGGGCCUA